CACGUAUUUAGCCGGGGCUUCUUAGUCAAGUACCGUCAUUUUCUUCCUUGCUGAUAGAAGUUUACAUACCGAAAUACUUCAUCCUUCACGCGGCGUCGCUGCAUCAGGGUUUCCCCCAUUGUGCAAUAUUCCCUACUGCUGCCUCCCGUAGGAGUUUGGGCCGUGUCUCAGUCCCAAUGUGGCCGACCACUCUCUCAAGUCGGCUACUGAUCGUUGCCUUGGUGGGCCGUUACCCCUCCAACUAGCUAAUCAGACGCGGGUCCAUCUUGUACCACCGGAGUUUUUCACACUGUAUCAUGCGAUACUGUGCGCUUAUGCGGUAUUAGCAGUCGUUUCCAACUGUUAUCCCCCUGUACAAGGCAGGUUACCCACGCGUUACUCACCCGUCCGCCACUCAGUCACCUCAAUUGUUUCAAUCUCUAGCAAGCUAGGUCAAUCAACGGGAGAGGUGCUUCGUUCGACUUGCAUGUAUUAAGCACGCCGCCAGCGUUCAU
rnacentral:rRNA from 1 species